GACGAACGCUGGCGGCGUGCUUAAUACAUGCAAGUCGAACGAUGAAGUUCCUUCGGGAAUGGAUUAGUGGCGAACGGGUGAGGAACACGUGAGAAACCUGCCUUUCAUUUUGGGAUAACUCCGGGAAACCGGGGCUAAAACCGAAUACUCCGUCUCGGCGGCAUCGCUGAGCCGGGAAAAAAUUUUGAUGAAAGAUGGUCUCGCGGCCUAUCAGCUAGUUGGUGAGGUAAUGGCUCACCAAGGCAACGACGGGUAGCCGGCCUGAGAGGGCGACCGGCCACACUGGGACUGAGACACGGACCAGACUCCUCCGGGAGGCAGAAGUGGGGAAGAGUGGGCAAUGGGCGCAAGCCUGACCCAGCGACGCCGCGUGAGGGAUGAAGGCCUUCGGGUUGUAAACCUCUUUCAGUAGGGAAGAAGCGAAAGUGACGGUACCUAAAGAAGAAGCACCGGCUAACUAUGUGCCAGCAGCCGCCGUAA
rnacentral:rRNA from 1 species